rnacentral:lncRNA from 1 species
GAGAGUCCUUGGUGAUCCCAGGGACAUUCAGUGGAAACCCCAGAGGAAUCACUCCUUAGUAGUACAAUUCAACUAUGCCUGGAGUAAAGGUUAACCUAGAAUUCCCUUAGAAAAUAUUAAAAACAGACCUUGAGGGGAUCAAAUUGAUCUGCAAGUUACUUAUUUUUUUCCAAAACAAAAUCAAACAACUUUCAUGGAAGAUGACAAAACUCAGACAAUCAACAAUGUAACAUUCACAAUAUUCAGUAUUUCCAUAAAAAAAUUACUAUGUCAAUAUGUAAGAAAACAUGACUCAUAUAGUCAAGAUUUCAAAUUUCCACAGAUCAAUCUGUACAUUUAAUGUAAUUUUCGUCAAAAUCCUACAAUAAUUUGGAGAUGCAUGUAAACUGACAAGAAAAUUUGUUCGGAAAGGCAAACGAACAGUAACAGCAAAAGAAAUUUUAACAACAAUAAAAUUUGAGGAUUCACUCUGAUUUUAAGAUAUGCAAAAAUGCACUAUGGUACUGGCAAGGAAUAAACACUGAUCAAUAGAAUAGAACAGAAUCCAGAAAUAGACCCACACAAAUAUGGUCAAUUGAUUUUUGACAAAUGUACAAAAGCAAUUCAAUGAAGAAGGGAUAGUCAAACAAAUGGUGCUUGAACAGUUUGAGAUCCAUGUGAAAAAAAAUAAACCUCAACAUGGACAUCUACAUACAUUUGAAAAAUAAUACCAUAUUACUAUAUGAGUUAUGCUCUUUGUUCAAUCUAUAACAAACAGUCUGUGUGCAAAUAUAUUCAUGUACACUUUGCAAUCAUUCUGAAUCCCCUGAGAUUUAGAAUCACUGAAUUUAAAGCACAUCAAAUCCAGUGGUAGUAAGUGAUACGUGAGGCAUGCUAUUUCUCUAAUCUACAGGCACUUCUCAUGAUACAUAUAUAUUUUCUUCUGGAAAAUUCAUGCUACUGUGCCACAAAGAGAGAAAAAUUAGCAGAAAGUAGGUGGCUGGCUUAGAGAAGACUCAUUCUUACUUCUAAACAAAUAAAGAGCAAAAGGUUAGUAUAACUGUUUUAAUUUAAUAUUUAAUUUAAAUGGCAACAAGGCAUUUUUCUUUUUCUAAAGUAAAACAUUUGUUGAGUAUCUACUAUGUUCCAGUGCUUUACAUCAUGAUGAUUAGAGACAAGGCACAGAUAACUGGUUAGUUUGCAUAGUUCUCACACCAAAAUUUAAGUUUUUUCUACUUAUACUGCUUUUAGGUCCUGCUUACCUAAACAUUUCCUACACACUUUCUAAAAUCAAGGAAUAUUGGUUGAUAGCAUGAUUGUUAAAUAAGGCAAAGUUCAUACUAAGUACUGACACCACUUAUUGAUUUACCGCCAUUAUUCGCAGAGUUUUAGGCUGCUAAUGACCAUAUAAGGCAUCUCAUUCCACUAUUAAACAACUCAGAUAGUUAUCAAGUCUUUAACUCUGUAAUUCUUCUUCCACUAUCUACUUGGGCAAAAUUAUGACCAACAGCUACCUAUAAAUUGUGUGCUUCUCCCAUUUUGCCAGGGCCUAGAUGAAGAAAAUGUAGUCAGAAAACACAGUGGAAAUAAAGAAAAAGAAAACAAAAUAAAAUGAUAAGUUCAAUAACUGGUACAGGAGGAAUGAAGUAAAAUAUUUAGUCCAGUAAAAUAUCUGUCAUAAUGAAAAGUAAACUCCUAAGAAUGGCAUUUAGGACACUCCAAGAUCUUGAAUCUAUCUCCCUUCCUUUUCAGACCUAUAGCCCAAAAUUCCCCUCUAUGUACUCUAUAUCACACUCAAACUAUUCUACUACUCAUUCACAGAACUUACCUCACAUUUUUCUACCCAUGUGAUUUUGCUAACAUAAUUUCCUCUGCCUGUUAUGUCUUUCUUUCAUCUCUUGCACAUCCAAAUUCAACUUGGUCUACAAGGCUUAUUUUAAAUGCUUUCUGCUCUAUGGAAUCUUUCAAAUCUAGAAAUAUUCUCACAUUUCUCUGAUUUUUUGCUCACAUUCCUUUAUGUUUAUCUCCUCCAUGGCACUUAGAACAGUUUAUGUUAUAUCACAGAUGCAUGUGCACAUAUUUUGUCUUUCCUGUCAGAAGUUGUUAGGGUGAAGAUGAUUUUUUUCUCUGUUUUGAACCACAAGUACAAUGAGUUAAACUAAUCAUACCCCUCUUUUGAAGGCAAACUAUCUUCAUCAGUUCAGGGUUCAUAAAUCACAUUUACCUUUCCAUACACCACAGUGCUUUGCCUAGAAUAUACAUUCAGAAAACUUUUUUUGAAUGAAUGAAUGAAAUGAGUGAGUAUAUAAACUAUGUGGCUUGACUCCCCUAGCCACAGAAACUUUGUGAUUUCCCACUCAUUUUCAAAACAUUUUUGGGACUUUGUCUUCCAAAUAGAGCAGACUACUUCAUUAUAGACACACAUUCCUGCCCACAGCAACUAGGAAAGUAAGAUUUAAAAAAUAAUCUAUUUGAAUAGAUUGGAGAAUUACUAUGACAAUAAAGAUUUGAGGGUCUAAGAUUCUGGGGUAAAAUGAAGAACAAGGAGUUAACCAAAAUUCAGUUCCACUUUUUCCGUCGAGGUGUUUGCCAACUUUUAAACAGUAACAGAGAGACUAGUAAAUCAAACAGAAAUCAGUGGCUGGUAGGCUUCACAGAUAAACUGAGCUUUCAGAAAUCUCAUGGAAUAAGAGAGAUAAAAAUGGUAUUCACGUCCUGUCAAGGAAGAACAGCCCUAGCAUGCCAGUCAUAGAGUUGGGGCCCCUGAAAUACCACUCUCCAGUAAUAAAGAGAAAUCAGAACUAGUUUAGCCCUCUAAAGGAAUGAAACACAUUUUUAAAAUAAUUUCAAAUCAAGACUUGAUAAAGGUGAUCUCGCCCUCCCUUAAUUGUCCAUUAGAAGUAAAAGUAAAUCCUCUCUGAAGGAAAAAAACCAUUUGCCAUGCACUUAAAUUAUGGCAACAAAUUUUAAUAUAAAAACUAUUACAUUAAAUAAAAAAAUAGUAGGCAUUCCACGAAAAGGAUAAAAUGAGCAAAAGGCAAGGGAGAAAAAAGACAGUAGAAAGUAAUGUAGAGGAGAUCUAAUUAUUGGAGUUAUCAAUGCAUACCUUAAGAUACAUAUGUUAAAUGUGUUCUUGGGCCAGCCCAAUGGUGUAUUGGUUAAGUACAUGUGCUCCACUUCAGCGGCCUGGGGUUCACAGUCCAGAAGAAGAGAGAGAGAGAAUGGGACAGAAGAAAUAUUUCAACAUAUACAAAUGUAGAAUUUUGCCAGUUUCGCUAUAAAUCACAAGCAGAAAAAAAUAUAAAAAAAUAUCUAGCAAUCUUAUAGACCAAAGACAAUGAGAAAGAUCUUAAAAAAGAGGCAAAAAACACAUAGCUUUCAAAGGAACAAUGGUAAGAUUUUUAACUACUUUCUCAAAAGAAAUGAGGUAAGGCAGAAGCUAAUGGAAUGAAACUGCUAACCUAGAAGUCUAUGUCUAGUGAAAAUAUCUUUUAAAAAUGAAACAUAAAUAAACUUUCCAAAUACCAAAACUGAGGGAAUUUUUCAGAUAAUUUCUAGGCCAUACUAAAAGAAAUGUUAAAAAUAUAGACACUUUAUAAUGACAAAGGGUCCCAGGCAUCAAAAAGAUGUAACAAUCCAAAAGUUUUCCACCUAGUUGUUAUAUAAAGUAAAAAACAUAGAGAACAACAAAAAUUAUAGAUAUAAUAAAUACACAAUCACAGAGAAAGAUUUUAACCUUUCUUAAUAACUAAUAAAAUAAGCAUAUACAAAAUCAGUAAUGAGGCAUAGGAUGUGAGUAACAUGACUGACUAACUUGCCCUAAUUGACAUUUUAACAAGCACUACACACAGCACCUGAAGAGCACUCAUUUUUCCCAAAUGUAAAUGGAACAUUAACCAAAAUUGGAAAGGCUGGGCCAUAUCACAAAUUAUCUGUAUGAUUAUUGAAAUCAUACAAAGCAUGUUCUCUGACCACAGGGUAAUUAAGCUGAAAACAAACAAUGAAUCAUAACUAGAAUAUCACUAAAUUCUUAAAAAUUAAGCAACACACUUCUAAAUAUACUGUGGACCAAAAAAUAAAUCAGAAAGAAAAUUGAAAUAGCUUGAACUAUAUAAUAAUGAAUAUAUCAAAUCUUAUAGGAUACCUUUAAAACCAUGCUUAGGAGGAAAUACAUAAUCUUAAAAUAUUAUAUUAGAAGGAAUUAAGACUAAAAAUCAAUUAAGGAUCUAUCUCAAACAGUUAGUAAAAGAACAGCAACAUAAAUGCAAAACAGGAAGAAAGAAGGAAAUAAUGAAGAUGAGAGAAUUUGAUGAAAUAGAAAACAAACAUACAUGGGAGAGCAUCAAUAAACCAAAAGUGGAUUCUUUGAAAAGAUUAAUUAAAUUUAUAAACCCAGUAAGACUUUUUUAAAAAAAAGUAAGAAAGAACAAUCAAUAUCAUAUCCUGUAGAUAUUUAAAAAAUUAACAAAAGGUUUGUGGUGGUUUUAAAAUGCCCACAAAUUCUUUGAUGCUUCUCCCUUCAAGAGGUGGAUCCAAAUUCUCUUCUGACUGAGUGUGGACUGGAAUUAGUGACUCCCAUCUACCAAAUAGAAUGAAGGGGGAAUUAAUGGUGUGCGACUUUGGAGAAUAGAUCGUAAAAUGUGCUUCAGCUUCCUGCUCGUUCUCUCUUUUGGAUUACCUGCUCUGGAGGAAGAUAGAUGCCAAGUCAUAAGGAUAGUCAUCCAUGGAGAAGCUAGGAAGUGGGCCUCCAGCCGAAAGCCAAUGAGGAAAUGAUAUUUCCUGCCAGCAGCCAUGUGAGUGAGCCAUCUUGGAAGUGGAUCCUCCACCUGUGGUCAAGCCUUCAGAUGACUGCAGCUCCCCUGACAUCUUGACUGCAACCUCAUGAAGAGACCUUGAGAAA